rnacentral:rRNA from 1 species
UACAGAGGGUGCAAGCGUUAAUCGGAAUUACUGGGCGUAAAGCGCGCGUAGGUGGUUCGUUAAGUUGGAUGUGAAAUCCCCGGGCUCAACCUGGGAACUGCAUCCAAAACUGGCGAGCUAGAGUAUGGUAGAGGGUGGUGGAAUUUCCUGUGUAGUGGUGAAAUGCGUAGAUAUAGGAAGGAACACCAGUGGCGAAGGCGACCACCUGGACUGAUACUGACACUGAGGUGCGAAAGCGUGGGGAGCAAACAGG